rnacentral:rRNA from 1 species
UCGUAACAAGGUCUCCGUUGGUGAACCAGCGGAGGGAUCAUUACUGAGUUACCGCUCUAUAACCCUUUGUGAACAUACCUAACCGUUGCUUCGGCGGGCAGGGGAAGCCUCUCGCGGGCCUCCCCUCCCGGCGCCGGCCCCCACCACGGGGACGGGGCGCCCGCCGGAGGAAACCAAACUCUAUUUACACGACGUCUCUUCUGAGUGGCACAAGCAAAUAAUUAAAACUUUUAACAACGGAUCUCUUGGUUCUGGCAUCGAUGAAGAACGCAGCGAAAUGCGAUAAGUAAUGUGAAUUGCAGAAUUCAGUGAAUCAUCGAAUCUUUGAACGCACAUUGCGCUCGCCAGCAUUCUGGCGAGCAUGCCUGUUCGAGCGUCAUUUCAACCCUCAAGCACCGCUUGGUUUUGGGGCCCCACGGCACACGUGGGCCCUUAAAGGUAGUGGCGGACCCUCCCGGAGCCUCCUUUGCGUAGUAACUAACGUCUCGCACUGGGAUUCGGAGGGACUCUUGCCGUAAAACCCCCCCAUUUUUUACAGGUUGACCUCGGAUCAGGUUGGAACC